UGAAGGGCACCAUGGUGCCAAACAGCUCAUUCAUACAAACUUUCACCCUCCCAUUAUUACAUUGGCGGAGACUCCACCCCUUACAGUGAGACGACUCCAAUUUCUCGCCGCCCUCAAGGUUGAAAGUGAUUCAAACUGGACCUGACAUUGUGAAUGUAAUUGUAGGAGUUUUUAAUUGUCAUGCAUGGAUUAUAUCAAUAGGUCAUGAAGAGAUGAACAGUUUGACAUGUGUUGCUGUGUUGUAUGUGGAAUGGAAUUCCCUUUUAGAGUGACUGGGGGCGAAUCCGUCUGUUGAGCUGGCUGCUUAUCCUCUCCUGUCUUCAAACUGAAAGGUAACAAUGUGAUAAUUAGAUUACAGAAUGUGUUAAUUAGAUGUCAGGAUGUGCUAGUUAGAUGACAGAAUGUGAUAAUUAGAUGACAGAAUGUGAUAGAUGACAGAAUGUGAUAAUUCGAUGACAGAAUGUGUGUGUGAUGUUCCGGCAGAGACACAUAGGACCUAUUACAUUUAGUCACAGAAUAAUGGAGUCAGAUUGAUAAAUACAUUUAAUUAUUCAACAUAAUUCUAACUAACUACACUAUUUCAGAUGUUAACAUAUUGAACAAUGCUCAGUACAGUGUAUCUGCAGAUAACACAUCACUAAGGACUUCCUUCCACCAAACCUCCACAGCACAAACCACCUUGUUUCUGAUAAACCACAAGCUCUUGUAUAGAAAAUGCUUUGAGUGGGAAGGGGAGUUUAGUAAGCCACGGUCUAUGCCCUACUUUGACUGAGAGAGCACUUAUUUACUUCCUGAAAGGCAUACAACUUGUAGUUUACCACCACACGGUCUCAUCGUUUCGACAUAGACAGGAAGUCAAACUUAAUCCAUCAAUAUUUUGAAAUGAAAACUCUGUUUCUGCUACACAUCUGUUGGCUGGAAAUCAUCACAGGAAUCAGGGCAGAACCUACAGUGGACCAGUAUGGGUUGAAGGGGGAUUCAAUAUGUCUGGCUGUUGCAGAACCUGAGAUUCUCAAGGGACUUAAAUGGAAGACAGGCAGUGAUAUAAUAGUUGAUGAUAAAGAGAUCUCUCCUAAAUACAAGGAAAAGGUGGAUUAUAACUCUGUGAACCAUUCUCUGUGUAUAAAGAAUCUGUUGAACACAGACAGUAGAAUGUACAUAAUAAGUGCAAUUAACCAGAGAGACUGGACAUAUUCAACUACCACAUACAGACUAAAGGUGCUGGAUCAUGUUCCCAAACCAGUCAUGGAUGUCACAUCUCUCUUCAACACAAAUGUGGGACUCUGUGACAUCACAGUGAACUGUUCAGUUAAAGAUGGCUGGCUGUUGUCUGUCUGUGGCUGGGGACAGUGUACACUGUCACAACAGUUAAUGUCUCUGUCUGAGGUCAACAUCAUCAUCUCCAAUGGGAACGGGACUAUCCAAUGCUCCAGCAGCAACUACGUCAGCACACAGACCAUCUAUCAACCCAUGGAGGACUGUCCUGAGCUACAGGCAGUUAGAUUUGGGUAUUGGUGAGAAGGAUGCCAAAGCUUCAGCAUUAUCAGUCAGGACCAUUGCGGCCAAUAUUGUUCGAUCAGUGAUUGUCUGUGUUGGAUUGGCAGUCACCAUAAUGGCCAUUAACAAGAUCAAGAGAUGGAUAUCCUCAAAAGAAGAUGACUCAACUCAGGAAUUCAUUGUUGAAGUCGCUGACACCACAGUGAAUGUUUCAGCAGAGGUGAGGCCAGAACCACUGGGCCCUCCUGAGGUAAAAAAACACUUCACAGAAAUGUGCAGAAACCAGGACAGCAACACUGAAUGGACUUCACCCAAUUGACCAGCAUUUUGUAUGAUAUGCUGUAAUACCAUGGGACAAAUAUUGAACACAUUUAAUUUAGUAUUAUCUGCAGUGUAUAUUUGCUUAAAGGGAGAGCCGUGUCGGGUCGACUUCAACAACAACUAAGAGCAUUGAAGCAUGAGGCUAAACUCUGCAUGUUUUGAUGUGAAGCACACCCUUCACAUCAAACAUAUACUCUGUGAGUACAAUGUCUUGCUCUGCGCUUAUCUACAAAUUCUGUGGUUCAUUCUGCUGGUCGUGGCAACGUCAUAUCGCUAAGUCUCAGUUUAAUGCAACUAGUGUUUUGGAAUAUUGAAUAUCACACUUCGGUUGUGUUUUUGGAAUGCUGAAUGUCACAUUUAUUUGUGUUUUUGGAAUGGUGAAUGUCAAACUUAUUAAGUUCUUGUUUUUACCCCCAAAAAUGAAUAAAUUAUGAAUUGAAUCAAUGAACUGAAAUAAAUUAUUAAUUGAACCAUCACUGUUCAAAUUCAAGAUUACACAGUCAAUGCAAUGCUUUGUGGAAUUGCUCCACAUCCUGUCUAAUUAAAAAUAGUACCGGGUUCUGAACUUGACCUUGUGGUUAAGGCUGCUGCCUUGGUAUAUGUAGAUUUUCCCGGCCUGUGUUGGUACGAGUCCUGGCACCUACCAGACCUACUCUGUACCUCCUUCUCUCUGUCUCCCCUUCAUUUUAUAUGUGUCUCUGUCAUUGAAAUUCAAUCAAAUACUUUCUGUAAAAUACAGGAGAGGUGUAACGGCAUUCUUCCUCCUCUUCUGAGGAGGAGGAGCAGCGAGAAGGAUCGGAGGACCAA